UGCUGGAAAGAGUGACUGCCACAUCCCCAUCACAAACUGCUACCAUUCAAACACCUCAGAAGCUGUAUGCAAAAUCAAACCUAAAAUGUGCUCUACUGUCUCCAAAGCAGCUAGAAUCAGGGAUGUUGUAGCUAUAGAACUGCUGCUGAGGUCAUGUGGAGGAGUUUCACUUUUUCUGCAGCAUCAGUGCUAGAAGGGAUGACUCAGAAGGC